UCAUCUUCGCUUAAAGUUCCCUCCAUGAAUUCGGAGGCCCAGACCUUGGAAGGAAAGAAAAGUGGGAGAAAAUGACAUUUUUAUGCCAAUUAAGGGCAAAAACAGAUAUAUAAAAACGAAGGAUUAGAAACUAAUUAUGAAGAGAGAGACUUCUUCGGAGAAAAAGAAAAGGAAGACAAUUCAUCAAGAGGCAACACAGAUGGAGAAAUAACAGGCUAGUCACAAACUGCACAGAUGAAGGAUUCAACCAAAAUGAAAAAGAAGAAAGCAUUAAAACUUCUGGUGCAACUUAUAUGGGAAAUCUCAACAACUUGUAUGCAACUACUGAUCAAACUUCUGCAGCAGCAUCAAAACCUAACUCAAAUCAAGAUCACGAAUGAAUAAUUGUGGGUGUCAAUUUAAAAUUACAACAGAAACAAAAACCCAGGGCAAUUAAUAAAGGAGAAAUCAAAGAUAUCAAAUAUUCCUCAUCGUCUCCUAGUCAGAGUACGCAAAGCAGGGAGGUAAGAAUAAGGGCCUGUUUGGAAAGGAUACGAAUGGCCCAAAUCCUAUAGGAUCAAUGGAUCCUCAAGGUAAAAAUCCUGACUCCUUUCCUAGCCACUGUCUGGGUGAUUGAACUAUGGGAUAAAAGAACGAAGUGAGUAGCUAAGCCCAUAGGAAAAAAAAUGUCCUCCGAUGGUC
rnacentral:lncRNA from 1 species